CGGGGAAGGCGGGCCGGGAACCUGCUGGGGAGAAGAUGGGCCAAGGACCCGCAGGGGAGAAGGUGGGCCUGGGGACCCUUCCGGGGGAGAAGGGCGCAGCAUCCCGGAGUCUGUGAGCAUCAAGACUUCACCACCCACCUCAAGUGGCCUAGCCUCCUGCAGGCAUAAGACGGUGGGCUCCCAAGGCGCUGCCUUCACCCUGGUACCCCAAUGAAGCACUGCACACUGUAGCACUGCACACCUAGCUGUGAGCAUUUGCGGCCAAGACCUUUUGUUCACCUUGUUACCUGAUGGAAAACAGCAUGUUCCAGUGUGUGUUUAUUUGGUCACUCAACAAUGUGCACUGAAUGCUAGUACAGGUUUGUUUGUUUUUUUAAAUUAUAGUAAUAUACAUUAUAAAAUUUACCAUUUUAACCGGUUUUAAAUGUACAGCUCAGUGGCAUUAAGUACAUUUACAGUGUAGUGCAACCAUCACCAGUUCAUCCUCAGAACAUCUUCCCAAACUGAAACUCUGUCCUCAUUAAACACUAACUCUCUACUACCUCCUCUCCCCAGUCCCUGGAUACUGCCAUCCUACUCUCUGUCACUGUGAAUUUGAUGACCCUAGGUACCUCAUACACAGUCUUUGUCCUUUUGUGAAUGGCUUAUUUCACUUAGCCUAAUGUCCUCAAGGUUCAUCCAUGUAGUAGCAUGUGUCAGAACUUCCUUUUUAAGGCUGAAUAAUAUUCCAUUGUAUGUAUAUAUCAUGUUUGGUUAGCCAUUCAUUGUCGAUGAUACAGGUUGUUUCCACAUUUUGGCUAUAAUGACUUAUUCUGUUAUGAACAUGGGUGUACGAAUAGCUGUUCAAGUCCCCGAUUUCACUUCUUUUGUAUGUACGUACACCCAGAAGUAGAAUUGCUGAAUCAUAUGAUAAUUCUAUUUUUAAUUUUUUGAGAAAACACAAUUUUCUACAGCACCUGCACCCUUUUAUAUUCCCCACCAACAAUGCACAAGCAUUCUCAUUUCUCCACAUCCUCAUAGAUACAUAUUAUUUUCUCA